rnacentral:misc_RNA from 1 species
AAUCCAAGAAUUUCACCUCUGACAAUCAAAUACGAAUGCCCCCAGCCAUCCCUCUUAAUCUUUACCCCAGCCUCAGAAACCAACACAACAACACCGAAGUUCUGUAUCAUUAUUCCAUGCCCAUGUAUUCAAGGCAGACACCUGCUUGAAACGCUCUAAUUUCCUCAAAGUAAAUGCCUUUGCAAUCACACCACGCAAUGAAGUGCAGCCAUGACCCCCAAGAAGAUGCCAAGAGCGAACCAAAUUCUCACCCAAAGGGCGGAUCGGUCACUCUCAGCAGAAGUCCAACUACGAGCUUUUUAACCGCAGCAAAUUUAAUAUACGCUAUUGGAGCUGGAAUUACCGCUC